rnacentral:sRNA from 1 species
GCCUCCUCCCUCUGGCCUGGGUGUGUGUCCCCAGGGCCCCUGUGAGUGCUGAAGUUUCCCCACUGUGGGUCCCCAGAGCUGCCUCUGCCUGGCAUGGAGCCCCCCGUGCUGUGGCCGCCCUGAGCAGCAGCGGCUAGCGGCUGGCUACGGUGACGGCUCCCUGCGCAUCUUCAGCAUCUCCCGCACGGCCAUGGAGCUCAAGAUGCACCCCCACCCGGUGGCGCUGACCAGUGUUGCCUUCUCCACUGACGGUCAGACUGUCCUCUCUGGAGACAAGGAUGGGCUCGUGGCUGUGAGCCACCCCCGCACAGGGACAACCUUCCGUGUGCUGAGUGACCACCAGGGCGCCCCAAUCUCUACCAUCUGUGUCACGUGCAAAGAGGUAAAGCAGCC